UGAGGAAUAUUGGACAAUGGGCGCAAGCCUGAUCCAGCCAUGCCGCGUGCAGGAUGACGGUCCUAUGGAUUGUAAACUGCUUUUAUACAGGAAGAAACAGUUCUACGUGUAGAACCUUGACGGUACUGUAAGAAUAAGGAUCGGCUAACUCCGUGCCAGCAGCCGCGGUAAUACGGAGGAUCCAAGCGUUAUCCGGAAUCAUUGGGUUUAAAGGGUCCGUAGGCGGUUUAAUAAGUCAGUGGUGAAAGCCCAUCGCUCAACGGUGGAACGGCCAUUGAUACUGUUAGACUUGAAUUAUUAGGAAGUAACUAGAAUAUGUAGUGUAGCGGUGAAAUGCUUAGAGAUUACAUGGAAUACCAAUUGCGAAGGCAGGUUACUACUAAUUGAUUGACGCUGAUGG
rnacentral:rRNA from 1 species